rnacentral:rRNA from 1 species
ACAUGCAGUCGAACGGCAGCACGGGAGCUUGCUCUGGUGGCGAGUGGCGAACGGGUGAGUAAUGCGUCGGAACGUACCGAGUAAUGGGGGAUAACGCGGCGAAAGUCGCGCUAAUACCGCAUACGCCCUGAGGGGGAAAGCGGGGGAUCGCAAGACCUCGCGUUAUUCGAGCGGCCGACGUCUGAUUAGCUAGUUGGUGGGGUAAAGGCUCACCAAGGCGACGAUCAGUAGCGGGUCUGAGAGGAUGAUCCGCCACACUGGGACUGAGACACGGCCCAGACUCCUACGGGAGGCAGCAGUGGGGAAUUUUGGACAAUGGGGGCAACCCUGAUCCAGCCAUUCCGCGUGAGUGAAAAAGGCCUUCGGGUUGUAAAGCUCUUUCAGCUGGAGCGAAACGGUACGCUCUAACAUAGCGUGCUAAUGACGGUACCAGCAGAAGAAGCACCGGCUAACUACGUGCCAGCAGCCGCGGUAAUACGUAGGGUGCGAGCGUUAAUCGGAAUUACUGGGCGUAAAGCGUGCGCAGGCGGAUUGUUAAGCAAGACGUGAAAUCCCCGGGCUUAACCUGGGAAUGGCGUUUUGAACUGGCAGUCUAGAGUGCGUCAGAGGGGGGUGGAAUUCCACGUGUAGCAGUGAAAUGCGUAGAGAUGUGGAGGAACACCGAUGGCGAAGGCAGCCCCCUGGGAUGACACUGACGCUCAUGUACGAAAGCGUGGGUAGCAAACAGGAUUAGAUACCCUGGUAGUCCACGCCCUAAACGAUGUCAACUGGUUGUUGGGGGAGUGAAAUCCCUUAGUAACGAAGCUAACGCGUGAAGUUGACCGCCUGGGGAGUACGGUCGCAAGAUUAAAACUCAAAGGAAUUGACGGGGACCCGCACAAGCGGUGGAUGAUGUGGAUUAAUUCGAUGCAACGCGAAAAACCUUACCUACCCUUGACAUGUCCGGAAUCCUGCAGAGAUGCGGGAGUGCCCGAAAGGGAAUCGGAACACAGGUGCUGCAUGGCUGUCGUCAGCUCGUGUCGUGAGAUGUUGGGUUAAGUCCCGCAACGAGCGCAACCCUUAUCAUUAGUUGCUACGCAAGGGCACUCUAAUG